ACGCUGGCAGCGUGGAUUAGGCAUGCAAGUCGAGCGCGAAUUUUGGUUGUAGCAAUACAAUUGAGAAGAGAGCGGCGUAAGGGUGAGUAACGCGUGGGUAAUUUACCUCAAAGUUGGGGAUACCCUGGCGAAAGCUGGGUUAAUACCGAAUGUGGUUUUUCUAGGCAUCUAGAGAUAACUAAAGGUGGGGAUCUUUCGGGAUCUGCCGCUUGAGAGAAGCCCGCGUCCUAUCAGCUAGUUGGUGAGGUAAUGGCUCACCAAGGCUUACGGGUAGCUGGUCUGAGAGGAUGGUCAGCCACACUGGGACUGAGACACUGCCCAGACUCCUACGGGAGGCUGCAGUCGAGGAUCAUUCGCAAUGCGCGAAAGCGUGACGAUGCGACGCUGCGUGGGGGAUGAAGGCCUUCGGGUUGUAAACCUCUGUCAUUCGGGAGCAAUAAUACGCGGAUUAAUACCCUGUGUAUACGAUAGUACCGGAAGAGGAAGUCACGGCUAACUCUGUGCCAGCAGCCGCGGUAAUACAGAGGUGGCAAGCGUUGUUCGGAUUUACUGGGCGUAAAGGGUGCGUAGGUGGUCUUUCGUGUCGGGCGUGAAAUCUUGUCGCUCAACGGCAAAACUGCGUUCGAAACUGAGAGACUGGAGUACAGGAGAGGAGAGCGGAAUUCUUGGUGUAGCGGUGGAAUGCGUUGAUAUCAAGAAGAACACCGGUGGCGAAGGCGGCUCUCUGGAAUGUUACUGACACUGAGGCACGAGAGUUAGGGUAGCAAACAGGAUUAGAUACCCUGGUAGUCCUAACCGUAAACGGUGUACACUUGGUGUGGGGAGAUUUGACCCUUCCCGUGCCGGAGCAAACGCGAUAAGCGUACCGCCUGGGGAGUACGGCCGCAAGGCUAAAACUCAAAGAAAUUGACGGGGGCCCGCACAAGCGGAGGAGCAUGUGGCUUAAUUCGAUGCAACGCGAAGAACCUUACCAGGGCUUGACAUGUAACUGCACGUUCUAUGAAAGUAGAAUUCCUUCGAGGGUGUUACACAGGUGCUGCAUGGCUGUCGUCAGUUCGUGCCGUGAGGUGUUGGGUUAAGUCCCGCAACGAACGCAACCCCUGUGUUUAGUUGCCACUUUGGGUGAUGAAUCCAGAAGCACUCUAAACAGACUGCCCGUGUAAGCGGGAGGAAGGUGGGGAUGACGUCAAGUCAGUAUGGCCUUUAUGCCCUGGGCUGCACACGUGCUACAAUGGUCGGUACAAUGGGAUGCAAAGCCGCGGGGUGGAGCUAAUCCUCAAAGCCGACCCCAGUUCGGAUUGAAGGCUGAAAUUCGCCUUCAUGAAGUUGGAUUCGCUAGUAAUGGCACAUCAGCUACGGUGCCGUGAAUACGUUCCCGGGCCUUGUACACACCGCCCGUCACAUCAUGAAAGCUUUGUGCACUCGAAGUCGCUGUACUAACCUGCAAUUUAUUGUUGGAAGAAGGCGCCUAAGGUGUGUGGAGUGAUUGGGAUGGAGUCGUAACAAGGUA
rnacentral:rRNA from 1 species